rnacentral:rRNA from 1 species
GGCACCACCGGCGGACGGCUCAGUAACACGUCGGUAACCUACCCUCGGGAGGGGGAUAACCCCGGGAAACUGGGGCUAAUUCCCCAUAGGCCUGAGGUACUGGAAGGUCCUCAGGCCGAAAGGGACUUAUGUCCGCCCGAGGAUGGGCCGGCGGCCGAUUAGGUAGUUGGUGGGGUAAUGGCCCACCAAGCCGAAGAUCGGUACGGGCUGUGAGAGCAGGAGCCCGGAGAUGGACACUGAGACACGGGUCCAGGCCCUACGGGGCGCAGCAGGCGCGAAACCUCCGCAAUGCGGGAAACCGCGACGGGGGGACCCCGAGUGCCGUGGCAACGCCACGGCUUUUCCGGAGUGUAAAAAGCUCCGGGAAUAAGGGCUGGGCAAGGCCGGUGGCAGCCGCCGCGGUAAUACCGGCGGCCCGAGUGGUGGCGGCUAUUAUUGGGCCUAAAGCGUCCGUAGCCGGGCCCGUAAGUCCCUGGCGAAAUCCCACGGCUCAACCGUGGGGCUUGCUGGGGAUACUGCGGGUCUUGGGACCGGGAGAGGCGGGGGGUACCCCUGGGGUAGGGGUGAAAUCCUAUAAUCCCAGGGGGACCGCCAGUGGCG